rnacentral:rRNA from 1 species
GACGAACGCUGGCGGCGUGCCUAAUACAUGCAAGUAGAACGCAGUUGCGAACGGGUGAGUAAAGCGUAGGUAAUUGCCUCAUAGCGGGGGAUAAAUAACGGAAAAGAUAGCUAAUACCGCAAACUGUGAGCUGGAACUGCGUUGUAUUAGCUAGUGGGAGAGGUAAAGGGUCACCAAGGCGACGAUACAUAGCCGACCGGGGAGGGUGGUCGGCCCCACUGGGGCUUGACCCAGGCCCAGGCUCCUACGGGAGGCAACAGGAGGGAACUUUUGGAAAAGGACGGCAGUCUGACCGCACACCGCCGCGGGAUGGGAGAAGGUUUUCGGAUCUUAAAGCUCUGUUGUGAGGGGAGCGUUAACUACCCAGAAAGAGACGGCUAACUACGUGCCAGCCGCCGCGGUAAUAC